GCCUUCGUGGCUUAGCGGUAUAGCGAUUGAUUCGUAAUCAAUAGGUCGAGGGUUCAAGUCCCUCCGGAGGCU
rnacentral:tRNA from 1 species